rnacentral:SRP_RNA from 1 species
GGUUCUCCCGCAACGCUACUCUGUUUACCAGGUCAGGUCCGGAAGGAAGCAGCCAAGGCAGAUGACGCGUGUGCCGGGAUGUAGCUGGCAGGG